rnacentral:rRNA from 1 species
GUCGAGCGUGGCUUCGUUCUCUCGCAAGAGAGGACGAAGUCUAGCGGCGAACGGGUGAGUAACACGUGAGAAACCUGCCCUCCGGACGGGGACAACCUCGGGAAACCGGGGCUAAUACCGGAUUCGCUCGCCGGGUCGCAUGGCCUGGUGAGGAAAGGACGCAAGUCGCCGGAGGAGGGUCUCGCGGCCUAUCAGCUUGUUGGUGGGGUAACGGCCUACCAAGGCUAUGACGGGUAGCUGACCUGAGAGGGUGGUCAGCCACACUGGAACUGAGAUACGGUCCAGACUCCUACGGGAGGCAGCAGUUGGGAAUCUUGGGCAAUGGGCGAAAGCCUGACCCAGCGACGCCGCGUGGGGGAUGAAGGCCUUCGGGUUGUAAACCCCUGUCAUGAGGGACGAAGCCGCAAGGUGACGGUACCUCAGGAGGAAGCCCCGGCUAACUACGUGCCAGCAGCCGCGGUAAGACGUAGGGGGCAAGCGUUGUCCGGAAUCACUGGGCGUAAAGCGCGUGUAGGCGGUUCGGCCAGUCCCGUGUGAAAGCCUCCGGCUCAACUGGAGGACGCCGCGGGAUACUGCCGGACUCGAGGACAGGAGAGGGAAGUGGAAUUCCCGGUGUAGCGGUGAAAUGCGUAGAUAUCGGGAGGAACGCCAGUGGCGAAGGCGGCUUCCUGGCCUGUCCCUGACGCUGAGACGCGAAAGCUGGGGGAGCGAACGGGAUUAGAUACCCCGGUAGU